AAUAUAGACCAUACCCCAUUUUCGAUAACCAAUCCCAUUUGAUCUCAGAAGCUAAGCAGGGUUAGGCCUGGUUAGUACUUGAAUGGGAGAUUGCUGAGAAUAUCAGAUGUUACAGUG
rnacentral:rRNA from 1 species